GUGUAACUACGCGCCUGACUGACUAAUUACCCAAACAUGAAAACCAAAAGCGUUAUUUUCAUCGUAGCCGUAAUGCUGGUUGUUUUACAAUGUUGUAGCAAGACCGAAGGGUUUGGGAUCACAGGUGGCCCUCCUAGACGAGGUCUUGUGGGCGUAGUCGUCAACCCUAAUGAAUUUGAUGACAUGUGCGACAUUUUCGGACCCGGAAAUGGGAAUAAUAAUGGUAAUGGAAAUGGAAAUGGAAAUGGAAAAUAGUGGAUGGAGCAGAAUAUUUAUUGAAAUUAUAAAAUAAAUGCUUACCAAAAUGUAAUCAGCAGUAAUAACUAUGAAAUGAUAGAAACGUUUGAAAAAUA